rnacentral:rRNA from 1 species
UACGUAGGGUGCAAGCGUUGUCCGGAAUUAUUAGGCGUAAAGAGCUCGUAGGCGGUUUGUCGCGUCUGCUGUGAAAGUCCGAGGCUCAACCUCGGAUCUGCAGUGGGUACGGGCAGACUAGAGUGUGGUAGGGGAGACUGGAAUUCCUGGUGUAGCGGUGGAAUGCGCAGAUAUCAGGAGGAACACCAAUGGCGAAGGCAGGUCUCUGGGCCACAACUGACGCUGAGGAGCGAAAGCAUGGGGAGCGAACAGG